UACGGGGGGAGCAAGCGUUGUUCGGAUUUACUGGGCGUAAAGGGCGCGUAGGCGGCACCGCAAGUCAGUUGUGAAAUCUCUGGGCUUAACCCAGAAAGGUCAACUGAUACUGCGGGGCUAGAGUGCAGAAGGGGCAACUGGAAUUCUCGGUGUAGCGGUGAAAUGCGUAGAUAUCGUAAGGAAGACCAGUGGCGAAGGCGGGUCUCUGGACAGUUCCUGACGCUGAGGCACGAAGGCCAGGGGAGCAAACGGG
rnacentral:rRNA from 1 species